AUGAUUAUGUGGAAAUUUACAUACGCAGAAUCAAAAAAGAAAGAAGGGCUAGAUUGGAAACGUAGAUUUGACAUAAUCAAUGGAGUGGCAAGAGGUUUACUUUAUCUUCAUGAAGACUCUCACAACUGCAUAAUCCAUCGUGACAUAAAAGCAGCCAACAUUUUACUUGAUGAAAAAUGGGUCCCUAAGAUUGCUGACUUUGGCUUGGCUCGUCUCUUUCCAGAAGAUGAAACUCAUGUCAAUACACGUAUGGCUGGAACACAGUAA